UACGUAGGGGGCAAGCGUUAUCCGGAUUUACUGGGUGUAAAGGGAGCGUAGGCGGUUUAGCAAGUCAGAAGUGAAAGCCCGGGGCUCAACUCCGGGACUGCUUUUGAAACUGUUGAACUAGAUUGCAGGAGAGGUAAGUGGAAUUCCUAGUGUAGCGGUGAAAUGCGUAGAUAUUAGGAGGAACACCAGUGGCGAAGGCGGGUUCCUGGACAUUAACUGACGCUGAGGCACGAAGGCCAGGGGAGCGAAAGGG
rnacentral:rRNA from 1 species